rnacentral:SRP_RNA from 2 species
GCUGGGCGUGGUGGCGUGUGCCUGUAAUCCCAGCUACUUAGGAGGCUGAGGCAGGAGAAUCGCUUGAACCCAGGAGUGAGGGCUGCAGUGAGCCAAGAUCAUGCCACUGCACUCCAGCCUGGGCGACAGAGUGAGAUUCCGUCUCAA